rnacentral:tRNA from 1 species
GGCCUCGUGGUCUAGUGGUAUGUUCUCGCUUCGGGGUGCGAGAGGUCCCGGGUUCGAUUCCCGGUGAGGGCCCG